CAUGUCCUUUAGAUUUUAAUUUAAGGUCUGAUCUGCUCAAUGAUUAAUAAAUAGCCGCGGUAUCUUGACCGUGCGAAGGUAGCAUAAUAAUUAGUUUUUUUAUUGAAAGCUUGAAUGAAUGAUUGGACAAGGGAUUGACUGUCUCCUUAAAAUUUCUUUUGAAUUUAACUUUUAAGUCAAAAGGCUUAAAUUUAUCUUAAAGACGAGAAGACCCUAUAGAGUUUUACAUAUUUAUUUACAGAUAUUUUUUAGUAUUGGUUUAUUUCUAUAUCUAUUUUGUUUGAUUGGGGUGAUUAGAAGAUUUAAUAAACUCUUCUAUGUUUAUAAUACUUAUUUGUAAUUUUUUUUUCUAUAUUUUUAAGUUUAAAUUAAAUUACCUUAGGGAUAACAGCGUUAUUUUCUUUUAAAGUUCUUAUUGGGAGGAAAGUUUGCGACCUCGAUGUUGGAUUAAAAUUUAUGUUAGGUGCAGUAGCUUAAACAUUAAAGUCUGUUCGACUUUUAAAAUUUUACAUGAUCUGAGU
rnacentral:rRNA from 1 species